ensembl:snRNA U6 U6 spliceosomal RNA
UUGCUUCAGCGGCACAUAUAGAAAAAUUGAAAUGAUACAAAGAAGAUUAGCAUGGCCCCUGUGCAAGGAUGAGAUGCAAAUUUGUGAAGUGCUCUAUUAAAAA